GGGCAGGAGGCGAAUGUUGGUUGGUCGCGCCAGCCUGUAAAGCUGGAGCCAUUGUGGCCGUCGUGGGUUCAAUUCCCACUCUGCUCU
rnacentral:tRNA from 1 species